UGGCUGAAUGGUAAAGCGCUUGGCUUCCAAACCAGAGAGUCCCGGGUUCGAAUCCUGG
rfam:Biomphalaria glabrata isolate BB02 unplaced genomic scaffold LGTN_random_Scaffold3797, whole genome shotgun sequence.